rnacentral:rRNA from 1 species
GAAGAAGGAGGGAGGCGUGCUUAACACAUGCAACUCGAACGGAAAGGAACUGCAUUUGUGGGAUGCUAGAGUAAAAAACAAAUGAGUAACAAGUGAGUCACCUGAACUUGACUUUGGGAUAACUUCACGAAACUGGGGCUAAUACCGGAUAGGAGCUCCUGCUGCAUGGUGGGGGUUGGAAAGUUUCGGCGGUUGGGGAUGGACUCGCGGCUUAUCAGCUUGUUGGUGGGGUAGUGGCUUACCAAGGCUUUGACGGGUAGCCGGCCUGAGAGGGUGACCGGCCACAUUGGGACUGAGAUACGGCCCAGACUCCUACGGGAGGCAGCAGUGGGGAAUAUUGCACAAUGGGCGGAAGCCUGAUGCAGCAACGCCGCGUGCGGGAUGACGGCCUUCGGGUUGGUAACCGCUUUCGCCUGUGACGAAGCGUGAGUGACGGUAAUGGGUAAAGAAGCACCGGCUAACUACGUG